UGGGGAAUCUUCCACAAUGGGCGCAAGCCUGAUGGAGCAACGCCGCGUGAGUGAAGAAGGUCUUCGGAUCGUAAAACUCUGUUGUUAGAGAAGAACAUGCAGGAGAGUAACUGUUCUUGUAUUGACGGUAUCUAACCAGAAAGCCACGGCUAACUACGUGCCAG
rnacentral:rRNA from 1 species